rnacentral:lncRNA from 12 species
AGCUUGUGCAAAUGAAGGAGCCUUCCCCAUGGCCCAGCCUAGUUCUCAGCUCUGGGUUUGGGGCAUAAGAUGCAUUUAAAAAAUCAGCGUUAACUGAGCCAUUCCUUUUCUUAGUUCUUUCUUUACUCAGCAACUUGAAGGAGAGAGGUGAAGGCAAGGCAGACUUGGGGCACAAUCAUAUCCGGUGGCACCUGUAUUCACCCUGAAUUCCAAUAGCAUCACCUGACCUACCAGGAUAUACAUGCCCAGUGUUUAUUCAGGGAAGAACAACGAGGCCCUGGAUAGGAUGUGAUGAAUGAAUCUUCUUAAUGAGAAGUGGAAAUCAUUUGUGGUUGAGAGCUGUGCCUCAGAUCAGGAGUGACAGGAUACAUGGCCAGGCUAUAUUUUCCAGCAGAUUAAGUUAAAAGCUGUGGCCCAAGACUCUGAAAUAUGAAGAAAAAAGAAGAAGAUGACAGGAUAUUUUUUCAAAGAAAUAUUUUCCAGCCAAAAGGUGCAGCAGAUCACUUCCAGGAAUUUGUUCUUGUUCUCUAUCAAAGUGCUUUAUGUGCUGCACCAAUGCUGGUCUGGCAGCAGCUGGCCAUGUCCCAGGAGCUGAGGAUGGGGCUGACCCGGAGAGAUGGACUGAGCCAGACAGUCCCCUGCCCCUGCCAACUGCUGUGCCAUUACUUGUGUUGAAGAUGAAGGCAAAGUGGUAAAGGCAAAGGGUCCUGGAGUUCAAUCAUAGAUCCCACACUGACUCUGUGUGUACUUGGAUAAAUUCUUUCACUUCUUGAAUGGCAUUCAAGUCUCUAUUUACUCUGGCCCAACUUCCUUUUACAGCUUCAGCUCCCACUGAUAUUCCAUAUAUUCCUUAAACCCCCAGUCAAACAUGCUUACUUCCCAUUCCAAGAACAUGCUCCGCCCUCUCCUGCUUCCUCUGUUACUAGAAAUGUUCUUUACUUGCCCUUAAAAACCCCCACAUCUUUCAAGACUCAGAUGAGAAGCUAUUAUCUCCAUAAGACUUUCUUCCCAGUUGACUGUGAGCCUCCUCUAUCAUCUCUUUGGGAGCUUUUAAUCACAUUCUACCUGGCGUUACAAUUUUUAUAGACAUGUCUUUUUCUUAUUACUAGAUUAUAAGCUCCAUGAAGGCAAAGCUGAUGUCUUGUCUGUCCUCACAAAUCCACACUGUAGACUCGGGGUAUACAGAUAUAAGUGGAGAAGCUGGAAUUCAUAGCUGGGGCUUCUGAU